rnacentral:rRNA from 1 species
UAUUUAUUUUAUUAUUUGGUUUAUUUGUUUUUAUUUUUUUAUUUAAUAAAAAUAAUUUUGUAGGAUUAUGUGUCUUAGUAUGUUUUGUAGAAUUGAUUCUUUUUAUUAUAGUUUAUUUGUAAUGUAAAUGGUUUAUGAAAUAUUUAUUUAAAUAAGUUAAAGUAAAUUUUGUUUAUUGUACCUUUUGUAUCAGGGUUUAUCAAAAUUUUAGUUUUUAUUAACUUUUCUCAAAUUGGGUUGAUUUAUAAACAAAUUAUAGUUAAUGUGUUAUAAUUAUUAUUAAUUUGUUUAUGGAAAUGAAAUGUUAGUCGUUUCCUAAGGUAUUUAGUUUCUUAAGAAAAAAUUUAAUUUUUUAAAGUUUUUGUUUAUUUUAAUUAUUUAAUUUUUAAUAUUAACUUGUUUAAUCUUUAGGGGAUAAGCUCUGAAGUUAUAAUCCUAUAAUUUAUUUAUUUUAAUAUAAUAAUAAGCUUUAAACCAGCUAUUUUAAGAUUACGUUUUAGUUCAUUAUUUUAUAUUUUGAUUUUAUAAUGAUUUUAGGUUUUUUAUUAAGAUGAUUAAUUUAAUUCAAUAAUUUUUGUAAUAAUGAUGGAAUUAGUAUAAUUAUUUGUUUAUAAUAUUUUAUUUUUUUUAAUUUAUUAUAAGGAAUUAGGCAAAGUGAAUUUCCGCCUGUUUAUCAAAAACAUGUCCUCUUGUUUAAUAUUUUGAGGUCUAACCUGCUCACUGAUAAUUUUAAAUAGCCGCGGUAUUUUGACCGUGCAAAGGUAGCAUAAUCAUUAGUCUCUUAAUUAGGGGCUGGAAUGAAUGGUUUGACGAGAAAUUAACUGUCUCUUAAUAAAUUUUAGAAUUUAACCUUUAAGUUAAAAGGCUUAAAUUUUUCUUUAGGACGAGAAGACCCUAUAGAGCUUGACAUUUUAUUUAUAUAUAGUUUUUAGAUAGUCUUUCUAUAUAUAAUUAUAAUGUUUUGUUGGGGUGACAUGAAGAAUUGAUAAACUCUUUAUUAUAAAAUCAUUGAUUUAUGUAUAUUUUGAUCCAUAAUUUAUGAUCAUAAGAUUAAGUUACCUUAGGGAUAACAGCGUAAUUGUUUUUGAGAGCUCAUAUCGACAAGGCAGAUUGCGACCUCGAUGUUGGAUUAAGAAAAAUUCUGGGUGCAGUAACCCAGUGAUUAGGUCUGUUCGACCUUUAAAUUCUUACAUGAUCUGAGUUCAGACCGGCGUGAGCCAGGUCGGUUUCUAUCCUAAGAUUAAUAAAUUCAUAUUAGUACGAAAGGACCCUAUGAGUGAAAUAUUUUUUAUCAAUUUGAAUAAAAUUAAUUAUU